UGUAGAAAGGGGGAAGGGUUGUUGUGGAGAGUAGACAUGAUGUAAAAUAACUUAACUGCUUCAUAAAGUGCAGCAGUUGUUGGUGGGAGGAGGAGGGGUUGAGAGGAAGGAGAAGCUCCCAUGAGAGGAACAGGCGAGCUGAGGACUACACAAACCACGCUGAGUUCUGCGCCAAAAUCAACAUGAGCGAACCGAGCAGAUGCUGUUUUUGUUGCUGCCAAAUUACGCUGUUUUUGCUACUUGACCCUUUUCAUAGGCGGCCAAACAUGUCCGAUCUUGCAUUUUUCACCCCCGAGUUGUUGCCAAUCUUUUAGUUUACACUUCAAACCUUCAGUUAACAGCAUCUCCGACCACCAUCCGCUGAUUGAUACCUGUAGGGAAGUAAUCACACAAAGCAUUACAACCCCACAGAGUUACAGGAUGGCAUGAGAGGUCUCCCCUUGUGAUGAACAUGUAGGGUGACGGCUACAGUACGAGCCCCCCUCUCCACAUCUCCAUCGCUUAACCAAGCAGAGCUCACAGGUGGCUCUCUGCAGAGUUCAGGGGUUACCCGCAGCUUAAUGUUGGAAAUAUCAGCUGUCAGUCCACACAUCAAAGUAUCUCUAUAAAUAAACGCUGACUGUGCCCCUCAGCUUUCAGCUUCACCAGCUUGAGAGGGUGAGGGAGGUGAAAGUGGUGGAGAAGUACGGGGGGGAGGCUAUACCACAGAAUUGACCCGGGCCGGAAAUCACACUGUUUUCCUUGACUCUCAAAUGGGGGCUCUUUUGAACGGCCCAAAUGGUUGAGAAAACAAAGGCUGUGAAUGUCCAGCAUAUUUCAUAAUCAGACGUCAUACUGCAGCGCACCUGCACAAACAGCGGCCGCACUGUAGCCUCCUGUAGAGCGGCUCCCAUGCAGACGGCAACAAGCCCCUUGGAGGUUCAUGUAGCAGGCCGUACCAUGUUUGGGCUAACCCACGUUUGCAUAUAAAACUGAAGUUUCCACACAGAAGGAAAGCUAAAAGAAGCAGUUGACCUGGCUGAGCGCUGCAGUGCUCACCCACUUAGAUAAAGGUAUUAGCUGAAAUGGCAAGAACGGUGCGGCUUAAGAUGUUGAUGUAAAGUCUCAGACUGGUUACUGCACGUGUGCCUACUGUCUCCACAGCUGGACUAACUCAGCUGGAAGUCAAGCCCUGUCAGGUGUUGCUACACCCGGUGAACAAAAAGGCCAUGGCUGCUCAGAGUUGUAGGUAUGGAGGCAACGAGCCAAUAAGAGCAAACAGAGGGCCUGACACACACACGCACACACACACACACACACACACAUGCACACACACAGCCACAGCCAGUCACUCAAGCUAAUGGCAUGCUGGAGUUCCUCAAGAGGCCUGUGUCAGACCCGGCCACCACCACUACUGCCGGCGGCUUGGAAGCUUCACAUGGAAAACACAAACACUUCCCUCUACAGGCAAUCCAUUCUCCCACAGUCGGAAAACAUGAUGGGCGGAUGAUGACUGGGGAGGCUUAUGCAACAAGGAGCUCCUGCAGUUUAGCUCAAGGGACCAACUCAAAUGCAGACUGAUGACUCAGAGAUCAACUUGCGUCCUCAUGCUGUUCGAACAAGGCAGUAACCGUUACAGUACAUGGGGCCUAUUAUCACUUGGAUAAAACCGGAGUUUUGAGGAGAAAUGGAAAAAUUUUGGACAUGCAGCC